AAUAAUUAUCUUACUUUUAAUAAUUUAAUUUUAUGAGAAAUAUCUUUUUAUUGAGUAUAUUAAAGAAAAAUAUUUAUAGUUAUAGUAAAUUAGUACUGUUAAGGAAAUUAAUGAAAUAAUUUAAAGCUUAAUUUUAAUAAAGUAUAUUUUAUUUAUAGUACCUUUUGUAUCAGGGUUAAUUUAAAAUUUUAAUAUAUUUUUUAUUUCUCGAUUUCAGUAAGAGCUAAUUUAUUAAUUUAGUUAAUGUGUCAUAAUUAUUAUUAAUAUAAAUUAGGUAAGAAAUUUUAUUCGAUUUUGAAGGUAUCUAGUUUUUUAAGAAAUAAAUUUAAUUUAUAUUUAUUAUUUAGUUUUUAUAUUAUAUUAUAAUCUAUAUAUUAAAUAAAAUUUUAUAGGGGAUAAGCUCUAUAUAUUUUCUAUAAAAGAUUUUAUUAAUAAAUUUUUGUAGGUUUAAAAUUAUCCAUCAUUAUUAAGUGUGUUAUAAUUUAUGUUUUUUAUUAAUUAAUUUUAUUAAUUUUAGUAUAUUAUUAAAAUAUCAAAAUUAAUUUUAUAUUUUGAGAAAUAAUAAUUAAAUUAGUAUAAUAAAAUGUUUAUUAUAAUUUAAUAGUUAGAAUAAAAUAAGGAACUCGGCAAAUAUAAUUCUCGCCUGUUUAACAAAAACAUGUCCUUUUGAAUUUAAUUAAAGGUCUGACCUGCCCAGUGAUGAAUUUAACGGCCGCGGUAUAUUGACCGUGCAAAGGUAGCAUAAUCAUUAGUCUUUUAAUAGAGGGCUGGAAUGAAAGGUUUAACGAGGAAUUGACUGUCUCAUUUUAUUUGUUUUAAAAUUUAAUUUUUUAGUUAAAAAGCUAAAAUUUUAUUGGAAGACGAGAAGACCCUAUAGAUCUUUAUAAAAUUAUAUUUAAUUAUUAUUAUAUAAAUAUAAUUAUUUAUUUUUUUAUUUUGUUGGGGUGACAAAAAUAUAUAAUUAACUUUUUUAUUUAUAUAACAUUAAUUUAUGAUUAUAUGAUCCAUUAUUAUUGAUUAUUAGACUAAGUUACCUUAGGGAUAACAGCGUAAUCCUCCUCCAGAGUUCAUAUUUACAGGAUGGGCUUGCGACCUCGAUGUUGGAUUAAGAUAAUAAUUAGGUGAA
rnacentral:rRNA from 1 species